rnacentral:lncRNA from 1 species
CGAGCAUGUUCGUCCUCGAGACACAAGGCCCGACCACAUCUCCAUCAUGCUUCGCAUAUUACAAACAUGUGUCCUCGGGCAUGGUCCUCGGGAAUGUGCUCCUCCUUACUGCUGACGAUUGUUCACCCUUUAGAAUUCCUACGCAAUCAGGAAUCUUAACUCCCACAAGAGUCCUAUCUCACGCAUAAUUCUGGAAUUCAACCAACUCCUUAACCAUUCAGGACUCCAACAGAUGAGGACAUCCAGCUAGUUGAGCCCAAUUAGGAGAAUGUCACUUACUACUAUAAAUACAGAACUUUGAACCAUUAUUCAGGUACGUUCUUCUCAUUGUUCUUCAGCAUAUAGCCUCACGCAUAUAUUUCCCUUUCUGACUUAAGCAUCGGAGGGGCGACGAGAACACACCUCGUUGCCUUUGUUUCAGGUAUCGGAAGAUCACGUUCGUGCUCAUCAUCAGUCAUCAAGCUCGAAAAAUCUACAGGUACGAUUUUUGGUAGCAUCAGUACCCAUGUCGCAUUUUCAACAGAUAUUCAUUAUCACAGUUGAAAGUAUAAGAAAAUAAACUCACUUUAGAUUCCUAGUUAUCAUCAAUAUCAUCUCUAUCACAUUUAUGCAUCAAGAGUUUCUGAGCACAAUUCCCCAGUUUGUUUCUGAAAGUAUAAGAAAAUAAAUAUGUUGGUUACUUCUGGAAUCUAGGCCAGGGUAGACUGAGUUUUCCAGUAAUCUUGCCAAGUUUCUCGCGCUGCAGCAUACCAUACAAAAUGUUCAAGUACCUUUAGGACAAUGUUAUGUAUCCCUUUUUUUAAACCCAACUUCAACUUCAUCUUCAUCUUGAUAAACGGCAGACUCGGUCUUGGCUCCUCCACUGUAGUGACGAUGAGAAAUCAAAACCUUGAGUCCUACCUAGACCAACGAGGCAACGACACUACUCUGCUAGUCUGCAACUUCUCCAAAAUUCCAACCAGCGACGGCAUCCUUCAGUCUAUUUUCGGAAUCGUUGAUGAGUCAUUUAUUUUAGCCAAAAUCCGACCGGCAAUGAGCCGACGGCAUGCUGCUUCUGUUAUUAAUUCAUUUUCUUGUUUUGGGUGAGAUUCAAAUUGUGCUCUUUGUCUAUUUGUUGCAAUAUCUUGAUUCUUGAAGACUUGAACUUUGAAGUGUAUCUAGCCUUCCAGUUUUUGGUGAAUGAAAUUAUGAAAUUCAUCAAUUAAUCCUGCCAUUUUUAAGUAAUUUAACAGCAAAUGAGCAACUGUAAUCUAG